rnacentral:rRNA from 1 species
AAAAUAAUUUUAAGUCUAAUCUGCUCAAUGAAUAAUUUUAAAUAGCUGCAGUAUAAAUAACUGUACAAAGGUAGCAUAAUAAUUUGUUUUUUAAUUGAAAACUAGAAUGAAUGAUUAAAUGAAAUAUAAACUAUAUCAAAUUUAAAAAAUAAAUUUAUUAUUUAAAUAAAAAAAUUUAAAUAAAUUUUAAAGACGAGAAGACCCUAAAGAAUUUUAAUAAUAAAUUAUACUAUAAAUUUAAAAUUUAUUAUAUUAAUUGGGGAAAUUUUAAAAUUUAAAAAAUUUUUAAUUAAAUAAACAUAAAUUUUUGAAUAUUUAAAAUUUUUUAAAAAAUUAAAUUAAAUUACCUUAGGGAUAACAGCAUAAUUUUUUUAAAAAGUUCAAAUUUAUAAAAAAGUUUAUGACCUCGAUGUUGAAUUAAGAUUAAAUUUAAUAGAAAAAUAUUAAAAAUUUAAGUCUGUUCGACUUUUAAAAUCUUACAUGAU